rnacentral:lncRNA from 1 species
AGAUGUGGUGCUUUGAGAAAUACAAAAAUCUUCGCAUUAUUUUUUAUUAUGAAACUUCUGAAUUGAUGACUGAUUCCAUUAGAUAUCAUGUAAGAUAUUUAAAAUAUCUUAAAAAUAAAUUUUACAAUUUUUUGAUAUUAGUUACUGAGGUUAUGGCAAUGAUUAGAAAUCAAUAGCUGAAAAUAAAAAUCUCACAAAAAGUGAUGAUUCAGCACUAAAAUUUUAUAUAAAAAAUAUUAGUUCCGUUUUAGAUAAUGUAAAAUUUUCUAUAAUAAUUUUACCAUAUUUGAAUAUUUUUUAGACCGUUAAACAUGCAAAUAAAAUUGUAAAUUUUGAAUUUCUUCUUAUCACUAGAUAAAUAAUAUCGAAAAAAAUAAGAAAAAUUAUUUCUAGAUAAUUCAAAUAUUUAGAUCAACUUUAACAAAAUCGAUUAUUGAUUUGAAAAUUCUAUCAUCGAAAACAACUUUAAGAUACAGAAACAUGUAUGCUUCUUAAAAGCACAUCUGGUCGGUUCUUCAAUCUAUUAACAAUUUAUUUGAUUAUCUCGUAAUAU